rnacentral:miRNA from 1 species
GAGGCAAGAUGGUGGCAUAGU